rnacentral:rRNA from 1 species
AUGGCGGCCUUCGCCGUGCCUUUCUGCGCAUCGGCUUUUGGCAUCACUGUGCCCUCUAUUGUGAAGCUGCUCAAGUACGAGUUGUUCCUGAGCAAGAAAGUGAAGGACGGGCUGGCGAGCCUCCAGGCCGAGCUGAAGAGCAUGCACGCUUUCCUUGGGGAUGUCUCAAGCCUGGCGCCGGACCUGCAGCUUGGCCCGCAGGUGAAACUCCAGGCCGACGAGGUCAGUGAUCUGUCCCAUUCCAUCGGGACAUGCCUCCACUCCUUCGUUGUGCGCAUCGAGUCUUCCAAGGAUGUGGGCAAGCUGGUUAUUAACCACGAGAUAGACACCUACAUCGAUGAUACACGAAUCAAGGUUAAGGAACUGCGUGAGCGGCAUGGCCCGUAUCCUUCCAGGAGUUCCCUGGAAAGUACUUGCACCCAGAAACUGGAUCCUCGUAUCCUUGCCAAGUACAAGAGAGAAUCUAACCCUGUUGGCAUAGCAGGCGCAAUUGCCGAUCUAACCAAUAUGUUGUCUAAGGACAAUCAUGCUAUGAUCUCCAUUGUCGGGAUGGGGGGAAUUGGCAACACCACCCUUGCUCAAGCAGUCUACGACAAGAUGAAAGGGGAUUUCGAUUGCGGGGCUUUUGUUCCCAUCGGCCAGAGAGCUGGUCCGGAGAAGGUUCUAAAGGACAUCUUUGAUGGACUUCACAUGGAGAUUUAUGGCAAGGAACCAAAACAACUCCAGCUUGCUAACCAGCUGCAAGAGUCGCUAGUACAUAAGAGGUGCUUAAUUGUCGUUGAUGAUAUAUGGGAUAAGGAAACAUGGACCUUGAUUGAAAAUGUUUUUGAGGAUAGUGCUGGAAGUAAAAUCAUCACCACGACUCGUAACCGCAAAUUUGCCGAAGAAUUUGGUGGCAUCUACGAGAUGAAACCACUAUGCACAGAUGACUCCAGAAAGUUACUCCGCACCAAAGCUAAAGUUAAAGGCCAUGAUACUGAAUUUGAUAUAUUGUCAGAUAAAAUUUUGCGUAAAUGUGUCGGUGUGCCAAUGGCUAUCACUGUGAUAGGUAGCUUCCUUGCUAAAAAACAAAGAAGCGAGUGGAAUAGGGAGUAUGAUUCUAUUGGUUUUGACGAACACGAGGAGGAUAGUGCUUUCGAGGUAAUAACCAAGGUGAUGCGUUAUAGCUAUAUUGAUCUGCCCUACCCUACCCGGAAUUGUUUUUUGUACCUAAGCAUGUUCCCAAAAGAUCACUGGAUCGAUAAGAACAUGCUGAUAUGGAGGUGGGUAGCAGAAGGCCUUGUGCCUGAUGAGUUGUUUGAGACUGGGGGCUCCUAUUUGAACGAGCUCAUAGAUAGGAGCAUGCUGCAGUGGGCGGUGAGUCCACGUGACGUCGGCCAAGGUGGUUGUCGCGUCCAUAGUUUGAUUUUUGACCUCAUCCGCGACCUGUCAAGCAGCCAGGAACAGAACUUCUCCACUGUGCUAGGCAUGAUGCAGGAGAGCACAACUCGAACCAGACCCACUCAUAGACUAGCCAUCCACGGAACAAUCCUGGGUCAAAAUCAGAACACUAGCCUGAAUGUAGGAGAGGUGAAAUCAUUUUAUGCCAGCACGUGUACUGGUGCUGGUAGUAGCUUCCCCCCAUUACAGAAUUUUGUAGAGCUUCGUGUACUAGAUCUGCAAGAUUGUGAUUUAUCUGUCAAGGAACACCUGGAGGACCUCAAGUCGAAAUGCCUGGAGUAUGUUGGGCUACUGCGCACACCUGUAGCUGAGCUCCCGGAUAAGAUAGGACACCUCAAGCUCCUACAGACGCUCGAUGUGACAUCGACUGGCAUCAGUAAGCUGCCGCCGUUUGUCGACGAGCUAGUGACACUGAGGUGCCUGCGUGCUGGCACUGGCACAAGUAUGAUGGGCCGGGUAGAGAAGCUAACGUCCCUGGAAGAGCUGUGGCUGCACUCGGCAGACAAGUCCCCGGACUUCGCCGUUGGGCUCCGAAAGCUGAGCAAGAUGAGGGUGCUGGUAAUCCAUUUCGAGGAGAUCGACAAUGACAUGCAAGAGACACUGGUGGAGUCCCUGCAUGAACUGAAGAAGCUCCGGGCCCUGCAGGUCUGGUCGGACGCAGAGGAGAAGGUCCGCGUUGGCUGCUGGGAAGGCAGCGUGCCUUCCCGGCAGCUCCGCCAGCUGCUGCUGUUCGGAGUCAUCCUACCCAGGCGGAUGCCAUGA